CCAGACUCCUACGGGAGGCAGCAGUGGGGAAUAUUGCACAAUGGGGGAAACCCUGAUGCAGCGACGCCGCGUGAGCGAUGAAGUAUUUCGGUAUGUAAAGCUCUAUCAGCAGGGAAGAAAAUGACGGUACCUGACUAAGAAGCCCCGGCUAACUACGUGCCAGCAGCCGCGGUAAUACGUAGGGGGCAAGCGUUAUCCGGAUUUACUGGGUGUAAAGGGAGCGUAGACGGCGGUGCAAGCCAGAUGUGAAAGCCCGGGGCCCAACCCCGGGACUGCACUGGAAACUGCCGGGCUGGAGUGUCGGAGGGGCAGGCGGAAUUCCUAGUGUAGCGGUGAAAUGCGUAGAUAUUAGGAGGAACACCGGUGGCGAAGGCGGCCUGCUGGACGACGACUGACGCUGAGGCUCGAAAGCGUGGGGAGCAAACAGGAUUAGAUACCCGCGUA
rnacentral:rRNA from 1 species